AUUGGACGCUGGCGGCAUGCCUUACACAUGCAAGUCGAACGGUAACAGGUCUUCGGAUGCUGACGAGUGGCGAACGGGUGAGUAAUACAUCGGAACGUGCCUAGUAGUGGGGGAUAACUACUCGAAAGAGUGGCUAAUACCGCAUGAGAUCUACGGAUGAAAGCAGGGGAUCGCAAGACCUUGUGCUACUAGAGCGGCCGAUGGCAGAUUAGGUAGUUGGUGGGAUAAAAGCUUACCAAGCCGACGAUCUGUAGCUGGUCUGAGAGGACGAUCAGCCACACUGGGACUGAGCCACGGCCCAGACUCCUACGGGAGGCAGCAGUGGGGAAUUUUGGACAAUGGGCGCAAGCCUGAUCCAGCAAUGCCGCGUGCAGGAUGAAGGCCUUCGGGUUGUAAACUGCUUUUGUACGGAACGAAAAGCCUUGGGUUAAUACCCUGGGGUCAUGACGGUACCGUAAGAAUAAGCACCGGCUAACUACGUGCCAGCCGCCGCAGUAAUAC
rnacentral:rRNA from 1 species